rnacentral:rRNA from 1 species
CCUACGGGGGGCUGCAGUGGGGAAUAUUGGACAAUGGGGGCAACCCUGAUCCAGCCAUGCCGCGUGUGUGAAGAAGGCCCUCGGGUUGUAAAGCACUUUCAGUGAGGAAGAACGCCUGGUGGUUAAUACCCAUCAGGAAAGACAUCACUCACAGAAGAAGCACCGGCUAACUCCGUGCCAGCAGCCGCGGUAAUACGGAGGGUGCGAGCGUUAAUCGGAAUUACUGGGCGUAAAGCGCGCGUAGGUGGCUUGAUAAGCCGGUUGUGAAAGCCCCGGGCUCAACCUGGGAACGGCAUCCGGAACUGUCAAGCUAGAGUGCAGGCGAGGAAGGUAGAAUUCCCGGUGUAGCGGUGAAAUGCGUAGAGAUCGGGAGGAAUACCAGUGGCGAAGGCGGCCUUCUGGACUGACACUGACACUGAGGUGCGAACGCGUGGGUAGCAAACAGGAUUAGAUACCCCUGUAGUC